GUACCAAGAUGGCAUUGAUCCUGUGUUGGGAAUUUGCCAGGUAAAUGCAGCAUAAGAAGAGACAUCUAGCUGAAGGCACUGGUGGAUGAAGAUUCCAGAGGGUUUAGUGGUUUGAGGAGAGAAGCCAGAGAGAAGAGGCUUUAAAUGCUUCCCUGGAAGGCGGAUAAAUCCCACUGCCGUCUUUCUCUGAUGAUUGCCCUCUGCAGAGUCAUCUUCUGGAAGAAAACCCCAAUUGCCAAGGAUAAACAUAUUUUUGAUCGUCUUCCUUUUUUUAAACUGAAAGAAGAUAAUGAAUAUGAAAGUCUCUAUGAGACUGCUGCUGCUGCUGCUAAGUCACUUCAGUCGUGUCUGACUCUGUGUGACCCCAUAGACGGCAGCCCACCAGGCUCCCCCGUCCCUGGGAUUCUCCAGGCAAGAACACUGGAGUGGGUUGCCACUUCCUUCUCCAAUGCAUGAAAGUGAAAAGUGAAAGUGAAAUCGCUCAGUCGUGUCCGACCCUCAGCAACCCCAUGGACUGCAGCCUACCAGGCUCCUCUGUCCAUAGGGUUUUCCAGGCAAGAGUACUGGAGUGGGGUGCCAUUGCCUUCUGCACUCUAUGAGACUCGAAAAUGUAAAUGUGAAAGUGCAUGCUAUUAUUAGUACAAUUAACAUUAAAAGUUAAUAAUAUUACAGGUCAUUCAUUUUUUGCAUAGUAAAAAUAGUUAUAUUUAUGUGUUGGCCCUACUGUUUAUUAAAAUAUUAUUUGCUCUGCUUAUUAAUUUCUGUGAGACUAAAUUGCUUUCAUACUUUAUAAAGAGUCCUAGAAAGGCAAUAUUUGUCAGAUAUUUCAGGCAAAAGAGUAAAAAGGGAAUAGCUAUACAUGUUAAACAUAGCAAUCAUUAAUAUAUGUUUUUUCUACCAAGAAAAUAAUCCUUUCUUUCUAAAGAUCCAUUAAUUUUUAGAAAAAUAUUUUUACUACUCAAAAAGAUUGUGUGGAACAUGUGUUAAAUCAUAAAACAUUUCCCUCUGCAAAAUAUUUCUAAGAGCAUAUGUGCAUCCAGGCUAGGAAAGUAUGCAAAAAUCCCCUAGCAUCUUCAUGUCAAGCCACGUGUAUUUAAUAUACACCACCUCAAAGAGGAACGUUAUCACCCUAGCACUGUGUAGUAAGAAGAAAACAGAGAUUUCUAAGAAUAUAUGGGUGUAAUUUCUGUUAACUGAAAGUGAUUGACAGUUCGUGGAAAUCUGCCUUCAAAAUAACCUCUGCAGCACCCUUAGUUUUAUUAGCUGCAAAGGAAACUGCUUAUUUCUCACCCAUUUAGCUAAAAGAAGCUCUUUUUCUUUGCCAUCCUAAUUGCCUAAAUCCCUAUGGAUAUACUGUGUAAAAUCCAUGUUUAUUUAGUUUUUUUUAAUACCAUCAUUUUUUUUUCCCAUUUGAGAGUUGGCUGAAAUAAGAUCAUGUACAGAAAACUACAUGUAGUCUAGAUCUAAAGUCAUUAUACAUACCUGGAGGAUUGUAAUAAAGUUUGAGGUCCUAGAAUUUUAAGGUGAUUU
ensembl:lncRNA